rnacentral:rRNA from 1 species
GGAAGCUAAGCCUCUCAGCGCCGAUGGUACUGCCCGGGGGACCGGGUGGGAGAGUAGGACGCCGCCGGAC